GAUGAACGCUAGCGGCAGGCCUAACACAUGCAAGUCGAGGGAUAAGCCUUCGGGCUCUGACCGGCGCACGGGUGCGUAACGCGUAUACAAUCUGCCUUUUAUCCGGGGGAUAGCCCGAAGAAAUUUGGAUUAAUACCCUAUGGUAUAAGAGCACGGCAUCGUGCACUUAUUAACGCUACGGCUGUAAAAGAUGAGUAUGCGUUCUAUUAGCUAGUGGGAGAGGUAACGGCUCCCCAAGGCGACGAUAGUUAGGGGUUCUGAGAGGGAUGUCCCCCGGACUGGUACUGAGGUACGGACCAGACUCCUACGGGAGGGAGCAGUGAGGAAUACUGGACAAUGAUCGGAAGACUGAUCCAGCCAUGCCGCGUGCAAGAGGACGGCGUUAUGAGAUGUAAACUGCUUUUGAAAGAGAAGAAUAAGGAGUACGUGUACUUUGAUGACGGUACCUUACGAAUAAGCAUCGGCUAACUCCGUG
rnacentral:rRNA from 1 species